rnacentral:rRNA from 1 species
GACGAACGCUGGCGGCGUGCCUAAUACAUGCAAGUAGAACGCUGAAGGAGGAGCUUGCUUCUCCGGAUGAGUUGCGAACGGGUGAGUAACGCGUAGGUAACCUGCCUGGUAGCGGGGGAUAACUAUUGGAAACGAUAGCUAAUACCGCAUAACAGUAGAUGUUGCAUGACAUUUGCUUAAAAGGUGCAAUUGCAUCACUACCAGAUGGACCUGCGUUGUAUUAGCUAGUUGGUGAGGUAACGGCUCACCAAGGCGACGAUACAUAGCCGACCUGAGAGGGUGAUCGGCCACACUGGGACUGAGACACGGCCCAGACUCCUACGGGAGGCAGCAGUAGGGAAUCUUCGGCAAUGGACGGAAGUCUGACCGAGCAACGCCGCGUGAGUGAAGAAGGUUUUCGGAUCGUAAAGCUCGGUUGUAAGAGAAGAACGAGUGUGAGAGUGGAAAGUUCACACUGUGACGGUAUCUUACCAGAAAGAGACGGCUAACUACGUG